GGGAUUUUGUUAAAAUGCAGAUCCUGAUUCAGAAAGUCUGGAGUAGGCCUAAGAUUCUGCAUUUCUAACAAGUUC
rnacentral:miRNA from 1 species